rnacentral:rRNA from 1 species
AUGAACGCUAGCGACAGGCCUAACACAUGCAAGUCAGGGGCAGCACAAGGAGCAAUCUGAGGUGGCGACCGGCGCACGGGUGAGUAACACGUAUGCAACCUGCCUGUAAGCGGGGAAUAACCCGUUGAAAGACGGACUAAUACCGCAUAAUACUAAAUUACUGCAUGGUAAUUUAUUUAAACAUUUAUGGCUUACAGAUGGGCAUGCGCAUGAUUAGCUAGUUGGAGAGGUAACGGCUCCCCAAGGCAACGAUCAUUAGGGGUUCUGAGAGGAAGGUCCCCCACACUGGUACUGAGACACGGACCAGACUCCUACGGGAGGCAGCAGUGAGGAAUAUUGGUCAAUGGACGAGAGUCUGAACCAGCCAAGUCGCGUGCAGGAAGAAUGUCCUUAAUGGAUUGUAAACUGCUUUUGCAGGGGAAUAAAGUGCAUCACGUGUGAUGUUUUGUAUGUACUCUGCGAAUAAGGAUCGGCUAACUCCGUGCCAGCAGCCGC